rnacentral:rRNA from 1 species
UUAAGCAUAUCAAUAAGCGGAGGAAAAGAAACUAACAAGGAUUCCCCUAGUAACUGCGAGUGAAGCGGGAAGAGCUCAAAUUUGAAAUCUGGCGGUUCUUGACCGUCCGAGUUGUAAUCUAGAGAAGUGCUACCUGUGCUGGACCGUGUACAAGUCUCCUGGAAUGGAAGCAUCACAGAGGGUGAGAAUCCCGUCUUUGACACGGACUGCCUGCACGUUGUGGUGUGCUCUCGAAGAGUCGAGUUGUUUGGGAAUGCAGCUCAAAAUGGGUGGUAAAUGCCAUCUAAAGCUAAAUAUUGGCGAGAGACCGAUAGCGAACAAGUACCGUGAGGGAAAGAUGAAAAGAACUUUGGAAAGAGAGUUAAACAGUACGUGAAAUUGCUGAAAGGGAAACGCUUGAAGUCAGUCGCGUCGGCAUUGAAAUCAGCCUUGCUUUUGCUUGGUGUACUUUCAUGUUGAUGGGUCAGCAUCAAUUUCGACCAUUGGAUAAAGUCGUUCAGGAAUGUGGCAUCUUCGGAUGUGUUAUAGCCUGGCGUCGCAUACGGUGGUUGGGAUUGAGGAACUCAGCACGCCGCAAGGCCGGGUCUCUUGACCACGUCCGUGCUUAGGAUGCUGGCAUAAUGGCUUUAAUCGACCCGUCUU